ACUAAUUCUGGAGACCGUGGACAG
rnacentral:piRNA from 1 species